UACGUGGGGGGCAAGCGUUGUUCGGAAUUACUGGGCGUAAAGGGCUCGUAGGCGGCCAACUAAGUCGGACGUGAAAUCCCCAGGCUCAACCUGGGAACUGCGUCUGAUACUGGAUGGCUUGAAUCCGGGAGAGGGAUGCAGAAUUCCAGGUGUAGCGGUGAAAUGCGUAGAUAUCUGGAGGAAUACCGGUGGCGAAGGCGGCAUCCUGGACCGGCAUUGACGCUGAGGAGCGAAGGCCAGGGGAGCAAACGGG
rnacentral:rRNA from 1 species